rnacentral:rRNA from 1 species
AACGAACGCUGGCGGUGCGCCUAACACAUGCAAGUCGAGCGCGAAAGUCCCUUCGGGGGCGAGUAGAGCGGCGGACGGGUGAGUAAUACAUGGGUAAUCUACCCCCGAGCUUGGGAUAACCCCGCGAAAGCGGGGCUAAUACCUGAUAAGACCACAUAACACAAGUUGUGUGGUAAAAGGUGGCUUGAAUUUAUUCUAGCUAUCACUUGAGGAUGAGUCCAUGGCCUAAUCAGCUUGUUGGUGAGGUAAGAGCUUACCAAGGCUAUGACGGGUAGCUGGUCUGAGAGGACGACCAGCCACACUGGGACUGAGACACGGCCCAGACUCCUACGGGAGGCAGCAGUGGGGAAUAUUGGGCAAUGGGCGAAAGCCUGACCCAGCGACACCGCGUGGGGUGAUGAAAGCCUUCGGUUGUAAAGCCCUUUCGUGUCGGAAAGAACUAGUUCCGCGGUUAAUACCGCGGAACUUUGACGUACCGCAGGAAGAAGCACCGGCUAACUCCGUGCCAGCAGCCGCGGUAAAC